rnacentral:rRNA from 1 species
AACGAACGCUGGCGGCAGGCUUAACACAUGCAAGUCGAACGCCCCGCAAGGGGAGUGGCAGACGGGUGAGUAACACGUGGGAACAUGCCCAAAGGUACGGAAUAUUCUCGGGAAACUGGGAGCAAUACCGUAUGUGCCCGAAAGGGGAAAGAUUUAUCGCCUUUGGAUUGGCCCGCGUUGGAUUAGCUAGUUGGUGGGGUAAAAGCCUACCAAGGCGACGAUCCAUAGCUGGUCUGAGAGGACGACCAGCCACACUGGGACUGAGACACGGCCCAGACUCCUACGGGAGGCAGCAGUGGGGAAUUUUGGACAAUGGGCGAAAGCCUGAUCCAGCAAUGCCGCGUGAGUGAAGAAGGCCUGGUUGUAAGACUCUUCUAGUUGUAGAAGAAAAAUUAGU